rnacentral:rRNA from 1 species
UACGAAGGGGGCUAGCGUUGCUCGGAAUCACUGGGCGUAAAGGGUGCGUAGGCGGGUCUUUAAGUCAGGGGUGAAAUCCUGGAGCUCAACUCCAGAACUGCCUUUGAUACUGAGGAUCUUGAGUUCGGGAGAGGUGAGUGGAACUGCGAGUGUAGAGGUGAAAUUCGUAGAUAUUCGCAAGAACACCAGUGGCGAAGGCGGCUCACUGGCCCGAUACUGACGCUGAGGCACGAA